AAGUCGUAACAAGGUUUCCGUAGGUGAACCUGCGGAAGGAUCAUUAGUGAAUUUCGACGCGAGUCGAUACACUUUCGGCUGUGCGCCUUCGGGCCGCACGCCGUCCACACACCCGUGCACGUUUCGGUGGGGGGUGACCCCCGCUGUAUUUUACACACUUUAUAAGUCUUGAAUGUAAAUUUUUAUAACAAAUACAACUUUCAGCAACGGAUCUCUUGGCUCUC
rnacentral:misc_RNA from 1 species